ensembl:lncRNA
UUUUGAUUUAUUUUGGAUUUAAUUCAACAUCUAAAUAACAAAUCAUUAAAUAUGACCAUGAGAACUACAUUUAUACCUGGUAUUUAUUCAUAGCCUACAUUCACUUUAGCAGCAGCAUUUAUUAAACAGGCUGCUUUUCAACAUGUGACCAUUGCAAAAACACUCUUUCCCUCCAUUCAAAUGAGGUUCAAAAAACAUUUUAUGAACCGACACACUUGCCAUCCUUUCUUCCUGAAUGAAAAGAACUGUUUUAAUAUCAAAGUGGGUCAUGCUGUACGAGCUUCAGUGGGCUAGGGGCGCUGCAGAAACAGAUGAGAGAUUAUGACAUCAUUCUCAGGACUGGAAUAUUCCACUAGUCAGAACACGACCUUGAAUAAGCUCUGAAAAUGCACAAGUGUUAAAUCAUUUAGCAGGGUAUCUCUCGUGGUGUUCAGCCAUGACAUUAAAGCCGAGUGCACGGUGAGGAUUUAUGACAUUUACAUAUAGUCUGUUUGAGUGUGUAAUUAAACAUGCUUCUAAUUCCAUGUGCAGAUCUGAUUUACAUAGACAGUGUAACGUCUACAUCUGCGCAAACAUCUUAUAUAUUGCACCAUUUAGGCCAGGAACUAAAGUAUGGCUUUCCUAAACUCCAAUAAGCACAUUUUUUUUUAAUAUAAAUCCAAACAUUUAUUACAGGAAAAUAAUGAAUGUGUGCACAAAACUGUUUGAAACAUUGUUUGUGAAAUGACAGGCUCGUGUCUCAUUUGUUGCGUAGGCCUGAUUUCCCAAAUGUACUGCAUAGCUGCCCUUUGAACAUUGUCUCCAGAAUGUAAUCAUGAUCGUUGUGCUGCAAAUCUUUGGAGAACUUUCAUGUCUGGUGGGACACAACUUAAAAGGAUGGCUGGGGCGAAAAUCUAAUUUACAUAAACUUCCAACAUACCUCAGCCAAGACAUUUGGUGUCCAAAUUUUGCUUCUUUAGUUUUGUAACUAGGAGCUUUGAGCAAAUGUAGCCAGCAAGAAAUGAAAGCCUAAGAUCACCAAUUAGAAUCAAGCUGAAGUCACUGAACACUUAACUGAAACAACAUUGUUAAGCCACGUAUAACCAUCUGCAUCUAAAUAGCACAAUACGACUUUUUAGUUUUCUUAUAUAAGCUGAAUUACAUGAUUCUGAAUUGAAAAUGGCUGCCACUAGUUCUGCAGUGCCCAUUUGUUGCAUGAUGUUAACUGGUGGUGAUAAGUUCUUAUUGUUUGUUCCAGUUCACAGCAAAACUAAAAAAGAGCACUUGUCUUGGACAUUUGGAACUUUUUUCCCCCUGAAACAUCAUUUUAAUAAAAUAAGCAUUUUAAAAUAUUACCUGCACCCAAAAACUCCUUAAUCAUUACUGCAUGCACAUGAUGAUCUCUACCCAAUCACCUUAAUACAGCAUUGAGUAUCAGUGGUGUGAAAAAUUAUUUGCCCCAUCCAAAUUUCUUCUGUUUUUGUGUCUCCCUCAUACUAAAUUAUUUCAGAAAUUAAAACAAAAUCUAAGAUAAAACAAAAGCAACCUGAGUAAACACAAAAUACAGUUUUUAAAUGAUGUUAUUUAUUGAAGCAAAAAAGUUAUCCAAUAUCAACUGGGCCUGUGUGAAAAUGUAUUUGCCCCCGUGGUUACUAAUUACCCAAAUCUAUGAAACUGCAUUCGUAAUGGGGUUCAGCUGGACUAGACGCAACCAGGCCCGAGUACUGCAAACCCUGUUCAAUCAAAUCAACACCUAAAUAGAACUUUUUCAACAGCAUGAAGUUGGUUAAAAGGUCUUACCCAAUAACACACCAAAGUUGAAAGUAAUUCCAGAAAUGAUGAGGAAGAAAGUGACUGAAAUACAUCAGUCUGGGAAGGGUUACAAAAGAUACUUCAUAAGCUCUGGGACUCCAAAGAACCACAGUGAGAGCCAAGAUCCCCAAAUAUAAAAACUCAGCGCAGUAGAGAACCUUCCCACAAGUGGCCGACCUUCCAAAAUUCCUCCAAGAGCACAGCAACGAUUCAUCCAGCAAGUCACAAAAGAGCCGAGGACAACUUUAAAGGACCUACAGGCCUCACUUGCAUCAAUAAAGGUCAUUUUUUAUGACUCCACUAUCAGAAUGACGCUGGGAAAAAUGGCGUCCAUGGAAGAGUGGUGAGGUGAAAACCACUGCUAACCCAGAAGAACAUUAAGGCUCAUCUGAAUUUUGCCAAAACACACCUUAAUGAUCCUCAAACCUUUGGGGAGAAUGUUCUAUGGAUUAAUGAGUCAAAAGUGGAACUGUUUGGAAGACAGGGGUCCGGUUACAUCUAGUGUAAACCAAACACAGAAUUCCACAAAAAGAACAUCUUACCUACGGUCAAGCAUGGUGGUGGAAGUGUGAUGGUGUGGGGAUAUUUUGCUGCUUCAUGGUCUGGGCAACUUGCAAUAAUUGAGGGAAACAUGAAUUCUGCUCUCUACCAAAAAAUCCUAGAGAAGAAUGUCAGCUCUUCUGUCCGUAAAUUGAAACUAAAGCACAACUGGAUUAUGAAGCAAGACAAUGAUCCAAAGCAUAGGAGUAAGUCCUAGUUCUAAAAUAAGUGAAAGACUGAUCUCCAGUUAUAGGAAGCGUUUGGUUGCAGUUAUUGCUACUAAAAGGUGGCACAAGCUAAUUUUAAGUUUAAGGGGGCAAUUCGUUUGUCACAUUGGUUGUAGGUGUUGGAUACCUGAAAUAAAUAAAUAAUAAAUAAUCUGUGUUUUGUGUGUACUCAGGCAUUCAAAAACUACCACGUUUCCAUGACAACCAACGGUUUACCACCCACACCACAUUAAAUACUGGCUUCAGUCCUUCCCUACAUCCCACAUGCACACCAUUUUUAAAAACAGGUUGCUAACCAAGCACGUAAUGUUCUGUUAAUUCUGAGACCUUCUUCAAUUUCCUUUUUUUUUAUUUUACUCUCAAGUGACCUUGUUCUAGUGGAAGGCGAAAGUUUAAAAAAGAAAGAAAGAAAGAAAGAAAAAAAUACAUGCCAUUUGGUAAGGCCUCUUUCAGCUGUGACUCAAUCACAAAUAUGUUCCCCACAAUCAUGAAAAAACAGAUAAUGAAACUAAUCACUGAUCAUUUGUGUUUUGAAAGCAUAAUAAGGGGUUGCAUUAAUUAAAUGCAAGAAAGAUUUUUUAAAUGAGGCAAAAAAAAAUUCCUCAUUCUCUUUACUGUCUUAU